rfam:Vibro shilonii strain QT6D1 chromosome 1, complete sequence.
ACGUAGUAAUGACCACCACGAUUAUUAUUACCGACAUUACCAAUGUUGGGGCAGGCUGGUAGACGGAAGAAAUUCAAAAACAAGGCCUGUAUCCCCAAGAUACGGGCCUUUUUUUU